GUUUCUGUAGUGUAGUGGUUAUCACGUUGCCUCACAUGCAAAAGGUCCCUGGUUCGAGACCGGGAGAGACA
rnacentral:tRNA from 1 species